rnacentral:rRNA from 1 species
AUCCGGGUUGCGGACAGUGUCUGGUGGGUAGUUUGACUGGGGCGGUCUCCUCCUAAAGAGUAACGGAGGAGCACGAAGGUUAGCUAAUCCUGGUCGGACAUCAGGAGGUUAGUGCAAAGGCAUAAGCUAGCUUGACUGCGAGAGUGACGGCUCGAGCAGGUGCGAAAGCAGGUCUUAGUGAUCCGGUGGUUCUGAAUGGAAGGGCCAUCGCUCAACGGAUAAAAGGUACUCCGGGGAUAACAGGCUGAUACCGCCCAAGAGUUCAUAUCGACGGCGGUGUUUGGCACCUCGAUGUCGGCUCAUCACAUCCUGGGGCUGAAGUAGGUCCCAAGGGUAUGGCUGUUCGCCAUUUAAAGUGGUACGCGAGCUGGGUUUAGAACGUCGUGAGACAGUUCGGUCCCUAUCUGCCGUGGGCGCUGGAGAAUUGAGGGGGGCUGCUCCUAGUACGAGAGGACCGGAGUGGACGCAUCACUGGUGUUCGGGUUGUCAUGCCAAUGGCAUUGCCCGGUAGCUAAAUGCGGAAGAGAUAAGUGCUGAAAGCAUCUAAGCACGAAACUUGCCCCG